rnacentral:rRNA from 1 species
AACGAACGCUGGCGGCAGGCUUAACACAUGCAAGUCGAGCGCCCCGCAAGGGGAGCGGCAGACGGGUGAGUAACGCGUGGGAAUCUACCCUUCUCUACGGAACAACUCCGGGAAACUGGAGCUAAUACCGUAUACGCCCUUCGGGGGAAAGAUUUAUCGGAGACGGAUGAGCCCGCGUUGGAUUAGCUAGUUGGUGGGGUAAUGGCCUACCAAGGCGACGAUCCAUAGCUGGUCUGAGAGGAUGAUCAGCCACACUGGGACUGAGACACGGCCCAGACUCCUACGGGAGGCAGCAGUGGGGAAUAUUGGACAAUGGGCGAAAGCCUGAUCCAGCCAUGCCGCGUGAGUGAUGAAGGCCCUAGGGUUGUAAAGCUCUUUCACCGGUGAAGAUAAUGACGGUAACCGGAGAAGAAGCCCCGGCUAACUUCGUGCCAGCAGCCGCCGCCGUAC